rnacentral:rRNA from 1 species
AACGGGUGAGUAAUACAUCGGAACGUGCCCAAUCGUGGGGAAUAACGCAGCGAAAGCUGUGCUAAUACCGCAUACGAUCUACGGAUGAAAGCAGGGGAUCGCAAGACCUUGCGCGAAUGGAGCGGCCGAUGGCAGAUUAGGUAGUUGGUGAGGUAAAGGCUCACCAAGCCUUCGACCUGUAGCUGGUCUGAGAGGACGACCAGCCACACUGGGACUGAGACACGGCCCAGACUCCUACGGGAGGCAGCAGUGGGGAAUUUUGGACAAUGGGCGCAAGCCUGAUCCAGCCAUGCCGCGUGCAGGAUGAAGGCCUUCGGGUUGUAAACUGCUUUUGUACGGAACGAAACGGCCUUUUCUAAUAAAGAAGGCUAAUGACGGUACCGUAAGAAUAAGCACCGGCUAACUACGUGCCAGCAGCCGCGGUAAUACGUAGGGUGCUAGCGUUAAUCGGAAUUACUGGGCGUAAAGCGUGCGCAGGCGGUAAUGUAAGACAGUUGUGAAAUCCCCGGGCUCAACCUGGGAACUGCAUCUGUGACUGCAUUGCUGGAGUACGGCAGAGGGGGAUGGAAUUCCGCGUGUAGCAGUGAAAUGCGUAGAUAUGCGGAGGAACACCGAUGGCGAAGGCAAUCCCCUGGGCCUGUACUGACGCUCAUGCACGAAAGCGCGGGGAGCAAACAGGAUUAGAUACCCUGGUAGUCCACGCCCUAAACGAUGUCAACUGGUUGUUGGGAAUUCACUUUCUCAGUAACGAAGCUAACGCGUGAAGUUGACCGCC